GGCAGGGGGCAGGCUACACAUGCAGUCGAACGGUAACAGAAGCAGCUUGCUGCUUUGCUGACGAGUGGCGGACGGGUGAGUAAUGUCUGGGAAACUGCCUGAUGGAGGGGGAUAACUACUGGAAACGGUAGCUAAUACCGCAUAACGUCGCAAGACCAAAGAGGGGGACCUUCGGGCCUCUUGCCAUCGGAUGUGCCCAGAUGGGAUUAGCUUGUUGGUGGGGUAACGGCUCACCAAGGCGACGAUCCCUAGCUGGUCUGAGAGGAUGACCAGCCACACUGGAACUGAGACACGGUCCAGACUCCUACGGGAGGCAGCAGUGGGGAAUAUUGCACAAUGGGCGCAAGCCUGAUGCAGCCAUGCCGCGUGUAUGAAGAAGGCCUUCGGGUUGUAAAGUACUUUCAGCGGGGAGGAAGGGAGUAAAGUUAAUGCCUUUGCUCAUUGACGUUACCAGCAGAACAAGCAUCGUCUAACU
rnacentral:rRNA from 1 species